rnacentral:rRNA from 1 species
GAACGCUGGCAGCGUGGAUUAGGCAUGCAAGUCGAACGGGAAGCCGUUGAUCAAUCUUCGGAAAGUGAUUCGGUGGAGAGUGGCGGAAGGGUGAGUAACGCGUGGAUAAGCUACCCUCAAGUCGGGGACAACCUCGGGAAACUGAGGCUAAUACCGGAUGUGGUCCUCUGUCGCAUGGCAGAGUGACUAAAGGUGGGGCUCCUUCGGGACCUGCCGCUUGGGGAGGUGUCCGCGUGCCAUCAGCUUGUUGGUAGGGUAACGGCCUACCAAGGCUUACGGCUAGCUGGUCUGAGAGGAUGAUCAGCCACACUGGGACUGAGACACUGCCCAGACUCCUACGGGAGGCUGCAGUCGAGGAUCAUUCGCAAUGCGCGAAAGCGUGACGAUGCACGCUGCGUGGAGGAUGAAGGCUUUCGGGUUGUAAACUCCUGUCAUGAGGGAAAAGACGUCUUGGGGCCAAUACCCCCGAGACCCGAUGGUACCUCAAGAGGAAGCCACGGCUAACUCUGUGCCAGCAGCCGCGGUAAUACAGAGGUGGCGAGCGUUGUUCGGAUUUACUGGGCGUAAAGCGUGUGCAGGCGGUUUCGUAUGUCGGAUGUGAAAGCCCACGGCCCAACCGAGGAAUUGCAUCCGAAACUGCGAGACUUGAGUACAGGAGGGGAGAGCGGAAUUCUUGGUGUAGCGGUGAAAUGCGUUGAUAUCAAGAAGAACACCGGUGGCGAAGGCGGCUCUCUGGAAUGUUACUGACGCUCAUACACGAAAGUUGGGGGAGCAAACAGGAUUAGAUACCCUGGUAGUCCCAACCGAAAACGGUGUGCACUUGGUGUUGGAGGUAUUAACCCCUUCAGUGCCGGAGCUAACGCGUUAAGUGCACCGCCUGGGGAGUACGGCCGCAAGGCUAAAACUCGAAGAAAUUGACGGGGGCCCGCACAAGCGGAGGAGCAUGUGGCUUAAUUCGAUGCAACGCGAAGAACCUUACCUGGGCUUGACAUGUAACUGCACGCCCCGUGAAAGCGGGGUUCCUUCGAGGGUGUUACACAGGUGCUGCAUGGCUGUCGUCAGUUCGUGCCGUGAGGUGUUGGGUUAAGUCCCGCAACGAACGCAACCCUUGUGGUUAGUUGCCACCGUCGGUGAUAAGCCGGCGAGCACUCUAGCCAGACGGCCCGUACAAGCGGGAGGAAGGUGGGGAUGACGUCAAGUCAGUAUGGCCCUUACGUCCAGGGCUGCACACGUGCUACAAUGGUCGGUACAGAAGGAAGCAAUACCGCGAGGUGGAGCAAAUCCCAAAAACCGGCCUCAGUUCGGAUUGUAGUCUGCAACUCAACUACAUGAAGUUGGAUUCGCUAGUAACGGCGUAUCAGCUACGACGCCGUGAAUACGUUCCCGGGCCUUGUACACACCGCCCGUCACAUCAUGGAAGCCGUCUGGACCCGAAGUCGCUGAGCUAACCCGCAAGGGAGGCAGGUGCCUAAGGUCUGGGUGGUAACUGG